UCACGAAAAGUGGGCUGUACUAGAAGUCGUCGCGCUGACCGCAAGGAGGCAGACGCCCAAGGUAUGGCUCAUGAUUGGGGUG
rnacentral:rRNA from 1 species